GGUUUGUGGGGCCAUUCAAAGUCCUGAGGAGAUUGAACGAGCUAAGUCCCCUCCUGUUCCCUGAUGAAGAAGGGAUGAACACUCCACUACCAGAGUCAACUCUCUGAUAAGAACUGAAGCCAUGUCUCAUGUGCCCUCUCAUCCACUGGAUGUUUGAAUGUUUCCUUUCCAAGCUCUUCAAAUCCUUUCCUGCCCUCAGUGGACUAGUUGAGCUCUUCAACACCAUCCAUCCAUGAUGAGCCUGUCCUGCACUGAAGCCUCUGAACACCUCAACCUCUGUCCUGCACUGAAGUCAAGCCUCUGAACACCUCAA